rnacentral:rRNA from 1 species
UACGUAGGAGGCAAGCGUUGUCCGGAUUUAUUGGGUUUAAAGGGUGCGUAGGCGGUUUUGUAAGUCAGUGGUGAAAUAUGGCAGCUUAACUGAGAGGGUGCCAUUGAUACUGCAGAACUUGAGUACAGAUGAGGUAGGCGGAAUUGACGGUGUAGCGGUGAAAUGCUUAGAUCUCGUCAAGAACACCUAUGGCGAAGGCAGCUUACUAGGCUGUAACUGGCGCUGAGGCACGAAAGUGUGGGCAUCAAACAGG